rnacentral:lncRNA from 1 species
UUGUUUUUCACAUGUUAAGUGACAGCUCUUUGUUGAACAGUUACACAACAUUACACACAUACACUGCAGUAUGUGUCAUGAGCCUAUAAGUACAUGUCACGGAACUGCAGAGGUCCUGCUUUGCCAUGUGUAUGUAAGACCCUAACGGUGCUAAAGGUCAGCGUGACAAGGAAGCACCUGUGAUGGCACAUCCUCUGAGGACAUCCCCUAGAUUAUAGGAAGAGACCCUGGAUCAGAGUGAAAAUGGUUAAAUAGAUAAAUGAGCUCAACUUGGUCCUCACAUGCCAUGUCGUCUGGAGAGUACUCCUGGACGUGCUAGAGGGCUGUUGCUGGCCUCCUAGAGUCUGGCAUCUGCUGAGAACUUAGCAACCCUGGCCAAGAGCCAGAAUGCUCUUGAGUGUUCAUCGUGGUCAGAGCACAAAGGGCCUAUAUACUAGCCCAAAUAGUGUGAUCUCCAAGCCUGGUCAUGCUCUCCUGUGACUUGAGAUACAUUAGGAAAUGAGAUGGCUUCAUAGUGUUGUAUGAGAAGGUUUUCAGUUAGGGAAACUGAGGCAUAAGGGUCAUGGUUGGUUUUGCACAUGGGAGUGGGGUGACGGAGCUUUGGGAAUUUUUUAUGUUUGUAUGUGUGUAGUGUGUGUGUGUGUGUGUGUGUGUGUGUGUGUUCAUGCAUAUGCAUGUGCAUACCUACUUAGACCUUGAGGGAGUUGGUUUUCAUCUUUUACCAUACCUGUCUUGGGACAUGAACAUAGGCCCCCUGUCUUGACAGCAGGUACCUUUCCCACUAAGCCAUUCUCAUCAGCCUCUUAGACAUAAAUCUUAUCUUAUUUUGUUUGUUUGUUUGUUUGUUUAUGAUUUUACCACUUCUUAGGUUAAUUCUUUUCAGUUCCUAAGGCAGCAUCUUGCCCUCCUCUUCAGACAUGAUAUUGGUCCUCAUUGCUGCUCAGUGUCCUUGGUCCCCUCCAAGGUGAACUCCACCUGAACUGUGGUUAUCCUCAGUGCCCGUAGAAAACAGUAAUCCAAGAGGAAAGCAUUAGUCUUCCUAUCUUUGUACCUUAGAAGAAGGGAAUGAAGACGAAUAAGUCCUGGCAGCUUGCACGGGAAGCAAAGCUCGUGGUAAUCCACUUAGGAAGUGUGUCUGUUUCACGUGGCCUUUGUACGGGUUCUCUGUCCUUCCUCUUACUCACACUUGGUGAUGGCGGAAGCCAAAGGAACAUGGAAACUAGCUGGAGCUGAGAAUGCUUAAUGCCUAAACUUGCUGAUUCACUUCAAAUCAUUUUUGUCCUGCUCCAAAUAGAAAAGACUAGGGGGGAGGGGGUGGUCACAGGCAUAAGGACCAGAGUUCAGGUCGUCAGAAGCCAGGUAAAGGCUGGGCUGGUGUGGCAGCACACCUGUGAUUCCAGCCUUGGAAGGAUGAGUUGGGAUCCCCAGAGCAAUCUAUGUUGACCAGGUUGGGUUUGAUAGGGACACCCUGCCUCAACCAGUGGGUAGAAGGUAGCUCCCAACAUAAGCUUCAGGCCCCCACAUCCAUGCACAUGCAUGCAUGGGAGGGGGUGGGAAAAGAGAUUGCUGGUCCCUAGAAGUGCUAGUCCUUCUUAGCAAGUCCUGACUCCCUGCAGGUGACCUGUGGUACUCAGACUAAGUAAAUAUGCAUUUACGACUCCUAGUGUAGACCUACAGGAGGUUAGGGGGGAAAGGUCUCCGUUGCUCAUGGCUUUGUCUUGUUUUGAAUCUGCAGCAGAAUAAUCUAGUCCUCAUUCCUCCGAGCUUAAGCAAGAUGAUCCAGAUGGCUGGAGAGAUUGCAGAUGGCAUGGCCUACCUCAAUGCCAACAAGUUCGUCCACAGAGACCUUGCUGCUAGGAACUGCAUGGUAGCCGAAGAUUUCACAGUCAAAAUUGGAGGUGUGUCCUUUGCUUUCCAGAUUGGAGCACAGGCUAAACUGAACUCACAGGUGCUGAGGGGACUUUGCAGUCAUUAGUCUGCCACUGGAGAGAUUUUCAUUAUGUCCGAGAGGAGCAGUGCCUCGCCCUUGAGUGCAAAGAUGUAUGUAGUCGGUGUGACUGUCUAUUCCUGGCUGUAACCCGGAGAGCACCUUAACAUGGUAGUCCAGAUUGGCGCCCUGCUCCCCAGGUCAAACGUUACAGAAAUAAUCGGGGCAGCUUGCUUCCUGAAGUGGUUUUGGCUUGAGGAGAAUGUCACCAUCCAGUCCACCCCUCAAGUUUCUCAGCUUACAAAGAGCAUUGUCCCUGAAUAGGCCCAUGGGGUUCCUAAGAGGCCAGGUGCCCCUAUGGUGAAACCCUGCAUAGUGUAACAGGAAGGGUAUAUGGUGGUCAUGUCAGUCCGCGGGAGAUCACUGCUGACUGCUUUUCACUCAUAGGACUGGUCGGCUCUAAGUUCUCUCCUCCUCUCCUGCUGCCAGGAAUUGAACCGAGGGCCUGAUGUAUGCUGCUGGUUAAGCCACUGAGGUGCAUCCUUCAGUGGUAGCUCCAAGCACUUGGCCGUUCUGUCGUGCAUAGCUUCCUGCCAUGACCUUAGCUGCUCAGCCUACCUUGUUGCUGCCAACACAUUGUGAUCCUAAAACACUGAUUGCAUUACAUCUCUGGUCAUUGGCUAGAAAUUCUCCCCAGCCUUACAGCUUGUAUAUUGGCUUUGUUUUUUUGUCUUUUACUUC